AUGGACUGAAACCUCUACAGACUAUAAUUACUUUGAUGGAUGGACUUCAUAAUAAAAUGAAUUAUUAAUGCUGCUAAAGACAUUUUUCCCUGUGACCGCCCCCAAGCACUACUAAUCUACUCUGCUAAAGUCCUGCAUCUUUAUUCACUCAUCUACAAAACUCCACGUGGUGAUUUGUGGAAGCAUACCUUGGACAUCCAGGAAAGAGCUUUAAAAAUUAACCUCUGUCUUCAUUUUAAGAAUGAAAAUGAACUAAGACCUAUGGAGGUUAACUGAAAUGCCACGUUGGAUCUCUAACAAUUUGAGGUCAACAACCUUCAGUGGCUUCCUGUUCGGCUUCAGAAUUUAUUUCUACACCUGACCUCCUUGGUGUUAGCCUCUCUCAUGUGGCAGAUCAGAGCCCUUAACAAUGUCCCAUGAUGGCCACCAACCCUCCUCUCCUUUUCCUCCUCUCUGUAUCCUAUUUCUAUAGGAUCUUGCUUUGAGUUAGAAAUUACUUGAUAGGAUAAACAAGGGUUCCUCAAACUUUAACCAUUCUCGUGCAAUCUUCUUAUGCCAACUGUGCUAGUAUUUAAUAUUUUAACCACACUAACUCAAUGUAUUACUUAUUAUACUAUUUUUUCAAUGAACAUAUUAAAUUAAUUCACUGUUAAACCCUAAAUUUGAUGUGCUAAUCAUAAUUUUAGAACACAUAUUAAAAUAAAUACAUAAGCAUUAUAAUUCAAAAACUUAAUCCAUUACUAUCCAGCAGUGGUAUACAACUCACAUUUUGGGAGAAACAGAAACCAAUCUUGCUAUGUCAGCCAGAUCAGAACUCCUCAAACUUAUCCAUGCA